UCCUGGUUAACUCAGCCGGUAGAGUGCUCCACUGGAAAUGGAGAGGUCCCUGGUUCGAAGCAGGGCCAGGCG
rnacentral:tRNA from 2 species